GACGAACGCUGGCGGCGUGCUUAACACAUGCAAGUCGAACGGUAAGGCCCUUCGGGGUACACGAGUGGCGAACGGGUGAGUAACACGUGGGUGAUCUGCCCUGCACUUCGGGAUAAGCCUGGGAAACUGGGUCUAAUACCGGAUAGGACUCCGGACUGCAUGGUCUGGGGUGGAAAGCUUUUGCGGUGUGGGAUGGGACCGCGGCCUAUCAGCUUGUUGGUGGGGUGAUGGCCUACCAAGGCGACGAAGGGUAGCCGGCCUGAGAGGGUGACCGGCCACACUGGGACUGCGAUACGGCCCAGACUCCUACGGGAGGCAGCAGUGGGGAAUAUUGCACAAUGGGCGCAAGCCUGAUGCAGCGACGCCGCGUGAGGGAUGACGGCCCUCGGGUUGUAAACCUCUUUCAGCAUCGACGAAGCGAAAGUGACGGUAGGUGCAGAAGAAGGACCGGCCAACUACGUGCCAGCAGCCGCAGUAA
rnacentral:rRNA from 1 species